AGAGAGAGGAGGGAGGCAGAGUUUGAAUCUGAUGUAGCUAUGGUGACAUCUGGGCCCAUCUUCACAAGAGUGGACAGCGCGUCUCCAACGAAUGCAAUGGUGCAAGCCUCAGGCUCCACCCACUCCGCCGGUGAUCUGACAGGAGUGGCCGUCACCGCGGGGAUCCUGUGUGCCGCCUGUGUUGGCAUGGCAGCCAUCAUCGCGUUCCUGGUGAAGAGGAGGAUGACACGCUGAUCCU